GAAAUGCGAUAAUUAAUGUGAAUUGCAGAAUUCAGUGAAUCAUCGAGUCUUUGAACGCACAUUGCGCCCCCUGGUAUUCCGGGGGGCAUGCCUGUCCGAGCGUCAUUGCUACCCUCAAGCACGGCUUGUGUGUUGGGCUUCCGUCCCUGGCAACGGGGACCGGCCCAAAAGGCAGUGGCGGCACCAUGUCUGGUCCUCGAGCGUAUGGGGCUUUGUCACCCGCUCCCGUAGGUCCAGCUGGCAGCUAGCCUCGCAACCAAUCUUUUUAACCAGGUUGACCUCGGAUCAGGUAGGGAUACCCGCUGAACUUAAGC
rnacentral:misc_RNA from 1 species